GAACUCAGCGACAUUACACAGGAUGUCCGUGGAAGAGGGACUCUUGGUGAAGGGGACAACUGUCGGCCUUUGCUCCUCUGGACCUUCGGAUUCUAGGUUCCAGGAGAGCCUUACAGACCAACACAGCCGGCUUCUUCUGGCCAUCCACGUUCAGCUUUGGUUGACAAAACACGGAAAGCAGGAAGAGCACGACAGAAAGAAACAAGAUUAAAAAAAUCAAGAACAAGAUGUGUCACCAAACUCAGCUUCCUGGGAAGAAGAGUGUCCCCGGAAGACUGUGGACCCCAGUUAACCCUCCCGAGAAAGCACCCGCUCUGCUUCCGGGAGGAAUUUUCUGGAGGAUCAUCUUCUAUUUUUACAGUUGCCUGAUUUUUGCUUGUUUUGUUUUGAAUUAGGUGUAUUUUGCAUUGUUUAUUUUGGUCCUUUGCAUAUUUACUUCAUUUGUAGGUUUCA